AUUUCAAAUCUUACUCUGAGUCAAGUGGAGUUGAGAAAGGAAAAUAGAGACAGAGAAAUAGCUUUUUCAGCUUCACUGAUGCAAUCUGGCAGUGGGCACAUUGGUCCUUUUUCCACUGACAUCACACUAACCUACAGGAACGUCUUCACAAACAUAGGGAACGCCUAAUCAACCCAAUUACAGGUAUUUUCAUAGCCCCACUGAAAGGAGCGUACAUGUUCAGAGUCUCUGUAUGUAGUCAUGGCCCAACUGCAGCAGCUGUAUCAAUUUAUAAGAAUGGACAGCGUGUGAUUAUGGCAUAUGCCCAUCAGGCUCAGAAUGUGUUAAACUCCUCAAAUGGAGUUGUGUUGAUCCUGGAGGUUGGAGAUGUUGUCUAUGUGAGACUGUACCCUAACACAAGGAUAUAUGAUGACCAGAAUAACCACAGCACUUUCAGUGGUUUCCUACUGUUUCCCUUAAGAUAACAGGAGAUUUGCAAAAUGUGAUUCCAAUAAUUCUGAACAUUCAGUGUAUGAUUUAAGAUAAAAUUAUGAAGAAUCAUUAACAUAUGAACCUGUAUUAAUGAGGACUAAUGUGUGUUUGAAAUCUGCAUAAGCUGUAUUCAUGUAACUUUGUAUAAAGAGUUUCAGCACUGAGACAGACAGGACGAAUAUCACAUGUGACUCAAAUGUAGGACUGUCAUGACUCCUUGAUUAAAUUGUAGUCUCUUUUUAAAAAAUAUCCUUGAUUGCAAUUUUCACUGUGUCGAGUAACCGGCAAAAUACCGGAAGUGGCGCAUAUCCACAGACGAGAAUCCAUGAUCCGCAUUAUUGGACCAUUUUGUAAGGCUGCACGACAUAUUAAAAUCUUUGAAAAACCACAUAGCAUAGUGUCAUUGAGAGUUCAGAAUAUGUGUCCUGUGGGUUUAAUGUAUGUUUUGCACGCUAGGAGUGUGUUGCAAUUUACAUUUUUGAAUCAGAUGUGGAUUUUAGUUUUAUAAGGGGAGUAUAUCAAAAUUACAUCUUAGUUUUAUUUUGUUAAAUUAUGUUGACUGACUUUGCUGCUGAGAGGUCAGAGGUGAGCAGGAGAGUAAUAUCAUCAGAGAACGUCCUCGAGCGAGACAGAAGAAGAGAGAAUGUAAACUGCUGAUUGUGUGUGUAGAAAAAUUCUCACGUGUAAAUAUUAACUCCAACUUCGAACUGGGAAGAAUGAGUCGUGUCUGUCCAGGAGUGCAACAUAGGUGCUUUUAUUAUUUCCAUGUGUGCAGGUUGUGCAUGUGCAGUGUUGCCAAGUUAUUGUGAAGCAACCCCAAAUAAUUCUGCCCACACACUUGAAGAUUUUAAGCUUGAUUUGCACCCCUGAACGUUCGGAGGGGUGUGGUCUAAUUUGAGGCUUGUAGCAAAUGAUUUUUUGUCCAAAAAAUCCUCUAUUGUGUGGUAUUUCAUCACGAUUAUUUAACUGCUCCCGAUCUGAACGGAGCAACGCCGAUCUCAAACAUGUUUGAUAUUUACGACUCUUGAUGCCCUCGACAGCCAAUGAGAAUGAUCAAGCGUCACAUACCGGAUUUUACGUGCUUCUUUAGCUAAAACUUGGCAGCCACAAACAUGACAUGAAAGUGGAGUUUUGAGAAAGAAGAUCACCUGUAUUAUUUUUUUCUAUUUUGUUCUUCACUGUAAAGCAGAAAGUGUGAUAGGAAAGCCUGCUGACAACAACAUUUGUUUUUAUUCUCAAGUCACAUUUGAUCUCGCGAGUCUCAGUGAGAUUUUGUCUCACUAGGCUUGUUUGAGAUGCGCCUCACCUCGUCUGAAAUGUAGGCGAGAGCAGGCGGCUGCAGUGAGGGGAGGAGUGAAAAAAGUGCAGGCAAGACGAACAGUUCUCUGUUCUCGUAGUGGAUCAGAACCUACGAGAUCAAAGGCGGAUAUCGCGGGAUUCACUCUCGUGUGCUGUGUUUCUGAUAAACUGGAUGUAAUUUAAGUUCUGUGGCUUUUAUAUGAAA